GACGAACGCUGGCGGCGUGCCUAAUACAUGCAAGUAGAACGCAGUUGCGCACGGGUGAGUAACGCGUAGGUAACUGCCUCAUAGCGGGGGAUAACUAUUGGAAACGAUAGCUAAUACCACCUACUGUGAGAUGGACCUGCGUUGUAUUAGCUAGUUGGUGAGGUAAAGGCUCACCAAGGCGACGAUACAUAGCCGACCUGAGAGGGUGAGCGGCAACACUGGGAAUGAGAAACGGCCCAGACUCCUACGGGAGGCAGCAGUAGGGAAUCUUCGGAAAUGGACGGAAGUCUGGCCGAGCAACGCCGGGGGAGUGAAGAAGGUUUUCGGGUCGGAAAGCUCUUUUGAUAGAGAAGCGGUAACUACCGAGAAAGGGACGGCUAACUACGUGCCAGCCGCCGCGGUAAUUC
rnacentral:rRNA from 1 species